ACAAAAGGCAAAACCCUGUCUCUACAAAAAAUACAAAAAUUAGCUGGGCAUGGUGGUGUGUGCCUGUAGUCCUGGCUACUCCGGAGCCUGAGGUGGGAGGAUCGCUUGAGUCUGGGAGGCAGAGGCUGCAUUGAGCUAUGAUCAUGGCACUGCAUUCCAGCCUGGGUGACAGUGCAAGACCUUGUCUCAGAAUAAAUAAAGUAUGUGAUGAAGAUGUGCAUACAUUAUAUGCAAAUACUGUUUUUUUUUUUUUUAAUUUAAACAGUCUCACUGUGUUGCCCAGGAUGGAGUGCAAUGGCACAAUCUUGGCUCAUGGCAAACUCUGCCUCGCAAGCAGCUGGGACUACAGGCAUGCUCCACGGUGCCCAGUUAAUUUUUUUUGUAUUCUUAGUAGAGACAGGGUUUCACCAUGUUGGCCAGGCUAGUCUUGAAUUUCUGACCUCAAGUGAUUCAUCUCCCAAAGUGCUGGGAUUACAGGCGUGAGCCACCACGGCCGGCUAAUUUUUGUAUUUUUUAGUAGUGACUGGUUUCGCGGUGUUGACCAGGCUGGUCUCGAACUCCUGAUCUCAGGCAGGCGGCUCACCUGAGGUCAGGAGUUGGAGACCAGCCUGGCCAACAUGCUGAAACCCUGUCUGUACAAAAAUACAAAAAUAGCUGGGCAUGGUGGCGCAUGCCUGUAGUCCCAGCUACUAGAGCGACUGAGGCAGGAGAAUUGCUUGAACCUGGGAGGCGGAGGUUGCAGGGAGCCAAGAUGGCGCCACCGCACUCCAGCCUAGGUGAUAGAGUGAGACUCCCUCUCAAAAACAAAACAAAACAAAAAAAUUAGACAAAUGCUACAUUAAUGUUUGGGUGGUCAGAUUCUACUUUGAAUCUGAAGUUUGCAGAUAUGCCUAUAGAUUUUUGGAGUUUACCACUUUCUUAUUCUGUAUCAUUAAUGUAAUAUUUUAAAUUACUAUAUAUGUUACCAUUUUUCUGGAUUUAGUAAGAAAUUUGCAGUUUUGGUUUGAUGUAACAAGGGUUUUAAUGUAAUUUAUGUUAGAUUUUGCAUUUUUUUCAUUACUGUUAUAUUUUAACCUGACUGACUGAUCUAAUUGUAUUAGUAUUGUGAAUAAUCAUGUGAAAUGUUUUGAGACAGAGUACUAUAUUUGUGAAUAUAAUUUUAUGGUUUUUUUCACUUAGAACCUUUCUGUGUGGAAAACUAAGAAAAUUGCUUUCUGCUGUAUAAUCUGGCAUUCAUUGUAGAUUAAAGCUUAUUUUUCUGUGAAUAAAACGUAUUCAAUAAAAUACUAUUCUUUAA
rnacentral:lncRNA from 10 species